ACACUCAGCAGCAUGUAGACUAAAAUUGGAAUAAUAUGAUUAGCAUGGCCUUUCUAGAAGGAUGACAUACAAAUUCAUGAAGUCUUCUAUAUUUUU
rnacentral:snRNA from 1 species